AUUGAACGCUGGCGGCAGGCCUAACACAUGCAAGUCGAGCGGAGCGGCGGACGGGUGAGUAAUGCCUAGGAAUCUGCCUGGUAGUGGGGGAUAACGUUCGGAAACGGGCGCUUAUACCGCAUACUAUCAGAUGAGCCUAGGUCGGAUUAGCUAGUUGGUGUGGUAAAGGCCUACAAAGGCUACGAUCCGUAACUGGUCUGAGAGGAUGAUCAGUCACACUGUAGCUGAGACACGGGCCAGAUUCCUACGGGAGGCAGUAGUGGCGAAUAGUGGACAAUGGGCGCAAGCCUGAUCCAGCCAAUGCGCGUGUGUGAAGAAGGUCUUCGGAUUGUAAAGCACUUUAAGUUGGGAGGCGUUACCAACAGAAUAAGCACCGGCUAACUACGUGCCAGCAGCCGCGGUAAUUC
rnacentral:rRNA from 1 species